GCUGGCGGCGUGCCUAACACAUGCAAGUCGAGCGAGAAAGUGGAGCAAUCCAUGAGUACAGCGGCGCACGGGUGAGUAACACGUGACUAACCUACCCUCGAGUGGGGAAUAACUUCGGGAAACCGAGGCUAAUACCGCAUAAUACCCACGGGUCAAAGGAGCAAUUCGCUUGAGGAGGGGGUCGCGGCCGAUUAGUUAGUUGGCAGGGUAAUGGCCUACCAAGACGAUGAUCGGUAUCCGGCCUGAGAGGGCGCACGGACACACUGGAACUGACACACGGUCCAGACUCCUACGGGAGGCAGCAGUGGGGAAUUUUGCGCAAUGGGGGAAACCCUGACGCAGCAACGCCGCGUGGAGGAUGAAGUCCUUCGGGACGUAAACUCCUUUCGACCGGGACGAUUAUGACGGUACCGGAAGAAGAAGCCCCGGCUAACUUCGUGCCAGCAGCCGCGGUAAUACGAGGGGGGCGAGCGUUGUUCGGAAU
rnacentral:rRNA from 1 species